rnacentral:lncRNA from 1 species
UAGGUUUUUUUUUCUUUGUAAAACAUUAAAUUAUAUCGCGUUUCAUUAAAAGCUUCUUAGGCCUAGCACUUGGAACAUCUUUAAGCUCUUCUGCUCGUUGUAUUCGAAGUUCUUCCGUUCUUCUUGUUGGAUCAUUUUCAGCCACCAAUCGAUGCGCAAACCAGUUGCUGUUCGUUUCUGUUAUAUUUUUUUCGCCAAGCCUAUCAAAACAUGAAAAGCAACCAGGAACAUUGUGUAAGCUGCAAGGUGUGUCUUCUAUUUUGCUACCAUAUUGACUAUCCAUGACAUCUUCAUCUUCUGCAUUUCGAAUCUUGCUUUGAAAUGAUGAAAGUGCUCGAAGGGUCGACUCUUCGUCAUUCUCCAAGUUUUUUCGCUUCCCUAAGACAACUUUUUUGGAUUUUUUAUACUUUUCAAGUUCCUCAGUCAAGAUGUUCCGUUUUUUAGGACGUACAACCACGGGUUUCGAGUUUGAAGAGCCACCACUUUUUUCUAAGUCACGAAGUUCAGACUUCAAACGGGAAAUUUCUUCUUGUACCUUGGACUUAGAGGAAGAAUUUAACUUUGUAUCUAAAGUGUCUACUUGCCUAGCAUAUUCAUCGGAAGAGACUUUAGCAGAGGUCAAUCCAGUUUGGGCAGACGAGUAAGUACUGUGAAUUGAGGAUGAAGAUGAAAUCAAAUCUUUACUUAACUCAGUCGUAGUAUCAGAUGAUCUGGAUACUGGCGUUUUCUGCCUGAGCGGCUUUUUUACAAUAGGCAUAUCGACUUCAUCGCCAAAACUGAGAACUGCUUUAUUUCGUCGUCCGGAUUUCAAUAAUUUGUUUCUUUCUUUCUGUUUUUCCUGGUGGGCUAGCUCAUUGGCAAUUUUCUCUCUUUCUUCUUUAGUUGAACGAGGUUUUAUGUCAGUAAAAUAAUUGUCAAUUACCUCUGUUGAAAUUAUUUUUGGGGGAAAAACAGGUCGUUGGUUGGCAUCUAACUCUAACUCAGAUAUCCUUACUACAUUGUAAAUGGUAUCCCCUACAACACGUCCAAAUAGAGUUUGCUUGCCAUUCCAUUCAGGUGUUGGACCUAAGGUGAUAAAAAAUUGAGAGUUGUUUCCCUCAUUUUCAGUACAUGCCAUUCCCACUAAUCCUCUUCUUAUAAACCGUAACCUAGGAUGUGUUUCUACAGCAAAAGGUUCACCAUAUAUAGAUUCACCACCCAUUCCAGUGCCAGUAGGAUCUCCACCCUGUAUCAAAAACUCUGGUACAACUCUAUGAACAAUGGUUCCAUCGUAAUAACUGUAUUUAAUUAGUAUAUUUGUAAACCCGAAGCAGUUUAAUGUUGCAACAUUUGGGACUACAACGUUGCUCAUCAACGAUUUAACUUACCCUUCCAAGCAUAACUGUAUAAAGUUUCUACAGGCCUUCGGCACUUCUUUGCACCAAAGUUCUAUCUGGAUAUCGCCGCGAGUAGUUUUAAGGAUGACAGUCCCCCUAUAAUGUUAGUAAAAGUAACUGGAAAUCUGAAAAACAUACGUUGCCAAAGGCUCCAAGUUGGUCAAAGUCUGAGAGAUUAGUCGAAGGGAGCAAGAAAAAUAUACUUACGGCCAUUCCAUAAAGUACAUCAAAUAUUAA